CCCUUAGAUGUUCUGGGCCGCACGCGUGCUACACUGAGUGGAUCAGCGGGUCUGGUUGCGCGAAAGCGUUUCCUAAUCUUUAAAUCCGCUCGUGAUGGGGAUUGACGGUUGCAAUUUUCUGUCAUGAACGAGGAAUACCUUGUAAGCGCGGGUCAUCAUCCCGCGCUGAAUACGUCCCUGCCCUUUGUACACACCGCCCGUCGCUCCUACCGAUUGAGUGGUCCGGUGAGGCUUUGGGAUCUGAGCGGAAAGAGCGUUUCGCUGCUUCUGCUCGGAAAACUCAGUCGAACCUUAUCAUUUAGAGGAAGGAGAAGUCGUAACA
rnacentral:rRNA from 1 species